rnacentral:tRNA from 1 species
UGGCUCAGAGGUUAAAGCGUCUGCCUGCAAUGCAGGAGACCUAAGUUCGAUCCCUGG